rfam:Oryza brachyantha chromosome 2, whole genome shotgun sequence.
GUCGAAGCUCCAUCGUCCAGGAUUAGUGGAGGGAUAUAUAUAUAUAUAUAUAUAUAUAUAUAUAUAUAUAUAUAUAUAUAUAUAUAUAUCCCUCCACUAAUCCUGGACGAUGGAGCUUCGAA